rfam:Magnetospirillum moscoviense strain BB-1 NODE_17_length_59328_cov_129.568_ID_4312, whole genome shotgun sequence.
CAGAAACCGAAGGGGAGCCCCGCCACGGGGGCUGAGAGGCCGGAAGAUGUGCCGGCGACCCUUAAACCUGAUCCGGGUCAUGCCGGCGGAGGGAUCGGAGCGGCCAUCCCG